rnacentral:misc_RNA from 1 species
AACGCAUAUUGCGCCCUUUGGUAUUCCGAAGGGCAUGCCUGUUCGAGCGUUAUUACACCCCUCAAGCACUGGCUUGCUGUUGGACCUCGCCUGCCGUUGCAGGCGGGUCCCAAAGACAAUGGCGGCGUCGGUCAGACCCCGAGAUGCAACGAGCUUUCACAAGCACGCAUGGACGGUGGCUAGCCGGCCCGGUCGUACCCAUUAUCUUUCUAGGUUAACCUCGGAUCAGGUAGGAAUACCCGCUGAACUUAA